rnacentral:tRNA from 1 species
GGUCUGUAGCUCAGUGGUAGAGCACUUGCCUCAUACAUGUGAGGCCCUGGGUUCAAUCCACAGCACCA